rfam:Triticum aestivum genome assembly, contig: Triticum_aestivum_CS42_TGACv1_scaffold_404176_5BL
CAAGUACUCCCUCCGUCCGGAAAUACUCAUCGGAGAAAUGGACGUAUCUAGACAUAUUUCAAUUCUAGAUACAUCCAGUUUUAUUAAUUUCUCCAACAUGUAUUUUGGGUCGGAGGGAGUAUAUA